rnacentral:rRNA from 1 species
GACGAACCGUGCGAACGUUGUUCGGAUUCACUGGGCUUAAAGGGCGCGUAGGCGGUUCGCCAAGUCCGGGGUGAAAUCUUUCGGCUCAACCGGAAAAUUGCCUUGGAUACUGGCGGGCUAGAAGAGGGUAGGGGCUGCGGGAACUUCCAGUGGAGCGGUGAAAUGCGUUGAUAUUGGAAGGAACGCCGGUGGCGAAAGCGCGUGGCUGGACCCUCCUUGACGCUGAGGCGCGAAAGCUAGGGUAGCGAACGGG